GAUGAACGCUGGCGGCAUGCCUAAUACAUGCAAGUCGAACGAGUCUUUAGGUAAGCUUGCUUCCAAAGAGACUUAGUGGCGAACGGGUGAGUAACACGUAGGUAACCUGCCCAUGUGCCCGGGAUAACUGCUGGAAACGGUAGCUAAAACCGGAUAGGUAUGAGGGAGGCAUCUUCCUCAUAUUAAAGCACCUUCGGGUGUGAACAUGGAUGGACCUGCGGCGCAUUAGCUGGUUGGUGAGGUAACGGCCCACCAAGGCGACGAUGCGUAGCCGACCUGAGAGGGUGAACGGCCACAUUGGGACUGAGACACGGCCCAAACUCCUACGGGAGGCAGCAGUAGGGAAUUUUUCGUCAAUGGGGGGAACCCCUGAACGAGCAAUGCCGCGUGGU
rnacentral:rRNA from 1 species